UACGAAGGGGGCUAGCGUUGCUCGGAAUGACUGGGCGUAAAGGGCGCGUAGGCGGUUUGGACAGUCAGAUGUGAAAUUCCUGGGCUCAACCUGGGGGCUGCAUUUGAUACGUUCGGACUAGAGUGGGGAAGAGGGUCGUGGAAUUCCCAGUGUAGAGGUGAAAUUCGUAGAUAUUGGGAGGAACACCAGUGGCGAAGGCGGCUUUCUGGACAUUUACUGACGCUGAGACGCGAAAGCGUGGGGAGCAAACAGG
rnacentral:rRNA from 1 species